rnacentral:rRNA from 1 species
CCUACGGGAGGCAGCAGUGAGGAAUAUUGGUCAAUGGGUGCUACCCUGAACCAGCCAAGUAGCGUGAAGGAUGACUGCCCUAUGGGUUGUAAACUUCUUUUAUAUGGGGAUAAACUGCAGUAUGUAUACUUUUUUGCAUGUACCUUAUGAAUAAGGACCUGCUAAUUCCGUGCCAGCAGCCGCGGUAAUACGGAGGAUCCGGGCGUUAUCCGGCUUUAUUGGGUUUACAGGGAGCGUAGGCGGGUCGUUAAGCCUGUUGUGAAAGUUUGCGGCUCAACCGUAAAAUUGCAGUGUAUACUGGCAUCCUUGAGUACAGUGGAGGUAGGCGGAAUUCGUGGUGUAGCGGUGAAAUGCUUAGAUAUCACGAAGAACUCCGAUUGCGAAGGCAGCCUGCUGGACUGUAACUGACGCUGAUGCUCGAAAGUGUGGGUAUCAAACAGGAUUAGAUACCCGAGUAGUC